rnacentral:rRNA from 1 species
UACGGGGGGAGCAAGCGUUGUUCGGAUUUACUGGGCGUAAAGGGCGCGUAGGCGGCGCAACAAGUCACUUGUGAAAUCUCCGGGCUUAACCCGGAGCGGUCAAGUGAUACUGUCGUGCUAGAGUGCGGAAGGGGCUACUGGAAUUCUCGGUGUAGCGGUGAAAUGCGUAGAUAUCGGGGAAGAACACCAGUGGCGAAAGCGGCUCUCUGGGGACCAUCUGGACGCUGAGGCGGCGAAAGCGUGGGGAGCGAACCCGG